UACGUAGGGUCCGAGCGUUGUCCGGAAUUACUGGGCGUAAAGAGCUCGUAGGCGGUCUGUCGCGUCGGUCGUGAAAACUUGGGGCUUAACCCUGAGCUUGCGGUCGAUACGGGCAUGACUGGAGUUCGGCAGGGGAGACUGGAAUUCCUGGUGUAGCGGUGAAAUGCGCAGAUAUCAGGAGGAACACCGGUGGCGAAGGCGGGUCUCUGGGCCGAUACUGACGCUGAGGAGCGAAAGCGUGGGGAGCAAACAGG
rnacentral:rRNA from 1 species